rnacentral:tRNA from 2 species
GCGCGAGUGGCGGAAUAGGCAGACGCGCAGCGUUCAGGUCGCUGUAUCCGAAAGGGUGUAGGGGUUCAACUCCCCUCUCGCGCACCA